rnacentral:rRNA from 1 species
UACGAAGGGGGCUAGCGUUGCUCGGAAUCACUGGGCGUAAAGGGUGCGUAGGCGGGUUUUUAAGUCAGAGGUGAAAUCCUGGAGCUCAACUCCAGAACUGCCUUUGAUACUGGCGAGCUUGAGUUCGGGAGAGGUGAGUGGAACUGCGAGUGUAGAGGUGAAAUUCGUAGAUAUUCGCAAGAACACCAGUGGCGAAGGCGGCUCACUGGCCCGAUACUGACGCUGAGGUGCGAAAGCGUGGGGAGCAAACAGG